UACGUAGGGGGCAAGCGUUGUCCGGAGUUACUGGGCGUAAAGGGCACGCAGGCGGUUGUGUCAGUUUGCGGGGACAGUGGGUGGCUUAACUGCCCAAGGGUCGCAAAGACGGCACGACUGGAGAGCGAGAGAGGGACCUGGAACUCCGGGUGGAGCGGUGAAAUGCGUAGAGAUCCGGAAGAACACCACUGGCGCAGGCAAGGUCCUGGCCUGUUCUUGACGCUGAGGCGCGAAAGCUAGGGGAGCAAACGGG
rnacentral:rRNA from 1 species